UAUCAUCGUUGAUGCUCACAAUCGCAUGGAGCCACCAUUGCCACCCAGCUAUUUCGGAAAUGCUACUUUUCGGGUAACUGCUGAAAGCACGUCAAGGGAGCUAGUCUCCAAACCAUUAGGCUAUGCUUCAGGUAAAGCACGAUAGGCAAUAGAGAAGGCAACGCAUGAAUAUUUACAAUCAUCUCUUGUGUAUGUGAAAUGUCAGGAGGAUGUAACUCAGUUCAAGAAUUUCCACACCGUUGGAUGCACCAAAGGAGCUUUCUAUGGGAACCUUAAUCUUAAUAUCACUAGUUGGGCCAGACUACCCAUUUAUGGGGCGGAUUUCAGGUGGGGCCAGGAAAUUUACAUGGGCCCAGGAGCAAUUGGCUACGAUGGGAAGGUUUUCGUAUUUCCCAACUAGGGUCAAGAAGGAUCAUUCCAUGUUGUAUUGAGGCUGCAAGUACGCCACAUUGACGCUUUCCAGAAAUUCUUUUAUGAAGACAUUUGUCUUCAAAAACCACUUUUAAUUAAUCCUUCAUUAUAAAAUAAAGAUAAUGUUGCAAUUUCCCUUGGAUCAGUUUUUCUUUGGUAGAUCUUGUUCAACAAAGCUACUCUUUAUCAAGCCAAAAAUUUCUUUUAUUUCACUCUGUAUUUUCAAUCUGAUUUUUCAGACACUUUCUCUCCUUACACAAAAAUGAAAAAAUGUUGUGUCUUCAGAAUUACGCACUCUCUGAAAAAUCAAAGCCCUUCACUCUGCUCUCUUUUCCUCGUAUAUAGUUCAUGUUAGAAGAGAAAAUAAUAGAAAAAGAAACGAACUAACUAAUCAUUUUAGAUAACUGACAGAAAUUUAUGAGUCACACUUAUAACAGAUAUAUACAAAUAGCUGAAAGAUAAGAUGGUAUAUAAGAAAAAACUAAAAUGUUACCAAGGCUACAUUUUUAAGAUAAAUCAUAAAUACAAGCUUGAGAUCAACCGUGUGAUAUAUUUUCAAACAUGCGCUCAUAGGCUGUGGUUGACUAAUUCUAUAUACACAAAUUUUAUCUUUUACAAAAUCAAUUAAUAAAAUUAAUUAUAUAUACACAGAAUGUAAUUUUACAUGUACAUUCAUAUGUUGUACGCGCAGUACAAUAGAGAGUUAUUUCCUAGCCCAAUUAUUAUUAUUUUUUUAGGAGUUUCUUCAAAAAAGAAAAAAAAAAAAAAACUCUAGAUUUUGGUUGUAUAACGUGGGCAAAGUUGGUCCUUUCCAUGUAUGGGUCGUUUCCAUGUCUACGUCAAAGUCAGGUUGUCUACUGUGGUAUUUUGAUUUGCCAAUUUCCUGGCGGGAGAAUUGUGUUUUCACCUCAAGGUGAAUAAUUAAACUAAAGUCCUCCUAUCACUCAUAAUUGAUUAUAAGAAUAUAAGAUGAUAAUGGACAUAAAUACCCCUUUACUCAUUUUUGUCUUUAUUCUACCACUCUUUACAUGUUAUUAUUAACACAUUCUCUCUCCUUUAACCAUUUUUUUAUUUUUCAUUGGUUUUUUUAAACUUUUUUAUAAAUAAUUGAAAAAUCAACAUUAUUUUAUAUUUUUAAAUUAUAAAUAAACAAAAAUUAUAUUGAUGAUUCAAAAACUAUUUUGAAAAAUACUUUCUAAAAAAUGUUAAUUUUAAAAAAUAAAAAUUAUCUUUUAUAUUUUAGAAGUAAAUAAUUUAAUGAUUAAAACACUAUUUAAAAUAAAUAUAUUCACUAUUUUAUUUUCUUUUAUACUAAAAAGUAUUUUAAAAUUUUCUUUUUCCUAUUAUAAAAUAAAAGGUUCAAUUUUUUAUUUUUUUUAUUUUAAAAAAAAUUAUUUCUUUCUUCUUUUAAUAACUUUUUGAACAUAACUUUUAGUAAUAAGUUAUAUGAAAUGUUGUAAAUUUGUUUAAUAAUAAUGAUUUGAAUUAAUUAAAAAUUUAUCAAAAAAAAAUGUAAAAGAGAGAAAUAGGAUGGAUGAAAAGUUUUUAUUUUAAAUAUACAAUUAAAAUAUUUUCAUAUGACUUAAUUUUAGAAGUUAAUUAUAACUAUAUAUAGUAUAUAUUGAUUUUUUUCUUAAAUAAAAGGGUUAAAAGGUAUAUUUACUCAUUUCAGAUAAAAAAAAUUAAAAAUUAUAUAGAUUAUGUUUGAGUUUGGUUUAAAAAUAUUUUUCUAGUUUUUAUUUUUUAUUUAUUAUUAUUUUUUAAAAUAAUUUUUAUUUUCUAUAUGGUCUCUUUUAGAAAAUAUGUUUAAUUAAAAAAUGAAAACUAUUUUUAAAAAUGAAAAUUGAAAACCUUGUUUAAUACUAUUUUUCAUAUGAAAAUAAUAAAAAGACUUAAAAGAGUUUAAUCCUAAGUCAUACGUUUUAUUUAACUUCCAUAUGGAAAUUUCAAUACUUUCUACGGUAAUGAUGUUUAGAGAAAAAAAUUUGACCCUAAGUACCAUUUUCUCAACCAAACCAUUGAAAAUAUGAUUAACACACCUACGUAAACACAUAACUUAGAGAGAUAUGAAAUUUGUGUCAUUGUACAAGGGUAUUACACUAACUGUACAAUGAAAAUGUACUAAGUGUACAAGGGUGUAUAAGGCUACCUUUUGUAAAAGAUUUGAAUCGAUUAUGAACCACUCCAUUUUACUUUCCUUGUUGCCAACAUAUUGUACACUCAUAUCAUACACUUUAUUUAACUCUCACAUAAAAAUUUCAAUAUUUUCCCUAGUAAUGAUGUUUAGGGAAAAAAAAUUGACCCGAAGUCAUCUAAUAUAUAUUUUCUCAACCAAACAAUUAGAAACAUGGUUAACACACUUACGUGGAUACAUAAUUUAGAAGGAAUAUGAAACCACUGUACAAGGGUGUUACAUUAACUGUACAAGGGUGUUACAUUAACUGUACAAGGGUAUUACACUAAUUGUACAAGUGAAAUAUACUAAGUGUACAAGGAUGUACAAGGUUAGCAUUUGUGAAAAUUUUCAAUCAAUUAUGAAUUACUCCUUUAUUUUCCUUGUCACCCAAGAAUUGUAUACUUAUUACACUAAUUGUACAAGGGAAAUAUACUAAGUGUUACAAGACUAGUAUUUGUGAAAAAAUUCAAUCGAUUAUUAAUUACUCCUUUAUUUUCCUUGUUGCCCAAGAAUUGUAUACUCAUGUCAUACACUUUAUUUAAUUCUCAUAUGGAAAUUCUAAUGUCUUCCCCAAUAAUGAUGUCGAGGGAAAAAAAAUUUAAUCAUAAGUCAUCCAUAAUUUUCUCAACCAAAUGAUUAAAAACAUGCUUAACACACCUACAUAGACACAUAACUUAGGAAGGAAAUGACAUUUGCACCACUGUAUAAUAUUAUACUAAUUGUACAGGGGGAAUGUGACAAGUGUACAAGGGUGUACAGGACUCCUAAUAGGUUUUGUAUGAUUUUUAAUCAACUUGAAUUUGACAUUAGAACAAUUAUCGAUAGUUUUUUUUUUUUCUCUUUUUUGUUUUUUUUACCAAACUAUGCCAUUAAGACCAAUGAGAAAUAAUAUACAACAUAUUUAUUAUUUUUUAAGUAAGAAACAAAAAAAAUAUUUGCUAAGGUAUUUAAAAAAUAUUUAUUAUAUAUUUUAUAAGUUUGAAAAAAAAAUUUAAUGAUGUCGAAUUUGCAAGUUAGAACAAAUAAAGAAUACUAAUAUUUUAUGAAAUAUUUAAAAAUUGUUUAAUAUAUAUAAGAAAUAAUAUAAGUUUGAAAUAAAUAAUAAUAUUUAUUAUAUAUUAUGUAAGUUUGAAAAAAAGAAUAAUAUUUAAUAAGGUAUUUAAAAAUUAUUUACUUCAAAACUGCAUUUGACAAUAAUAAUUUUUAAUUAUUUAUCUUUCAUAUUCAAUUUGUUGGAGAAAAAUAAUUGGUAAAUCAUUUAACUUGAUCCCACUAAUAAAUAAGUAAGAGAAGGGUGAAAAAAUCAAAGAAAGAAAAGAGAAAGGUAGGAGUGGCUGGUAGCUUUUUCAUUUGAUAGUUAAGGGUAUUUUAAGGAUUUUUGAAUGGCAAUAUCCUUCUUCUCAAUUUCUAUUCUUUCCUUAGGUUUUGAAUUUAAUUAUAGGUGAUAGGAGGACCUUAUCUCAAUUAUCCAACCCAGCUGGGGUGGAAACACAAUUCUCCCUUUCUUGCCCAGCUCAGCAGAAAUUUGUCUGUCUUUUAAGGUAGAGUGCACUGCCAUCAUUGCAUUAUUUUAUUUUAUUGAGGAUAGUAUCGAAAAACACCUUCGUUGCCUUAUCAUUUUCCUAAUAAUGCAAGUAGUGCAACUCAACAACAUCAAAUAGAAAGUACUGAUGUUAAGUGCGAAUAAUGCAAGUAGUGCAACUCAACGACACCAAAUAGAGAGUACUGGUGUUAAAUGCAACCGUUGUUUCUUCAUGGCCACUAUGUUCAACAACUAGUCUCAAGCUUUACAUGUGAAAUUUAAUUCCAACUUUUAAAUAAAGAAAGAAAUAUGCUAUGGUAAAAAUAAUAAUAAUAAUAAUAAUAAUAAAAUAAAUAAAAUGAAAUUAUGUAUAAAGAAAGACUUAAAACAUAAAUGAAUGGAUCAACUAAUGUUCUGUUAAAGAAUUCAGAAGAAAGAAAUUUUUAGAUAGAUGAAUUGAUUUUCAUUGAUUGAUUGUGAUAAUAUAAAGGAGUUUCAAUCAGGGACGAAAAUAUCGCGAUAUAUCGUGUAUUGGGAGGUUCCGACACGAUAUUUUCCAACUGAUAUAUCGAGAAGGAGAAAUAUCGAAAAAUAUCAUCGAUAUAUCGACGAUAUAGAGGUUGUAGUUGAUAAAUCAACUAUUAAUGAAAAAAAUCACCUAUGAAUGCGAAAAAUCAUCGAUAUUUCAGCAAAAAAUCACCUUACAUUGUGAGCGUGAUCUGACGGCCCAAAUCAUGCCCGCAUUGAUCCGAUGCCCCAUAUUACACCCACGUUGAUCCGACGCCCCAAAUCACGUCCACGUGCAACAAUCAACUUCCUCGUUUGAUUCAAUGGCUAAGAUGACAAUCCAACAACUAUUUUGUGAGCCAACGGUAAAAUGAUGUUUGAACAACUUUUUUGGCCCAAAUUUUUGUUUAUAAAUAGUUCAUUUUGGAUCUAUUUGAUCCCCAUUUUAUUGCAUUUGAUCUCUCAUUGCUCAUAAUUUUUUUUUUAUUAUUUUCAAAUUAUUAUAAAUUUGGGAAAUUUCUAAGGUGACUCAUUUAUUCAACUAUUCUAACGUAUGUUUGUUUUAAAUUCUAAUUAAUUUUGUUUUUCAGUUGUAAUUAAUUAAUGUAUUUUCAAUUCAUUAGUAUAUUUUCUAAAUUAUCUAAUAUCACAAAUCAUAUCAUACAUAUAUCAAAUUCUUCAACAAAACAAUUUUAAAAUGUCUAUUAUAUUUCUAAUUACAUUAUUAUGAGGUUUUUCUUACUUUUUCAUGAGUUUUGAACAAUUUUAGGCCUAUAGAAAUUUUUUUUCAAAAUAUCCGCCGAUAUAUCUGUAAAAUCAAAGUAUCGAUAUAUUCGUGAUUACCGAUUUUUUUAUCCUUGGUUUCUAUAUUGAGAGAAUAAUACAACAAACUCUCAUUGGGUUAGUUCCAAAUUGUGGCAUUUAGUAACCAAUCCUAACAACUUACAAAUGAGUUGUCCUAACAUGCUCCCUCAAACUUAGGUAGUAAAAUCUUUUACUUUAUGUUUGUUUUUGAAAUUGAAAAACAAUGAACUCAACACUACCUUGGUAAGUAUGUCUACAACUUGAUCUUGAGCAAGGAUGUGUCUUACAUCACCUUGUUUGGUGAGAACUUUUUUUCCGACGAAGUAUAAAUCCAAUUCUAUAUGUUUUUUACAUGAAUGUUGGAUUAGGUUGGCUGCAAGUUGGAUUGUACUUAGAUUAUCACACCAAAUCAUGAUUGAAGUCUGCAACUUAGUCAACUUAAGUUCUUGUAAGAGAGAUUGAAUCCUUAUGAUUUCUACUACCAUACUGGCUAAACUUUUGUACUUCGCCUUUGUAUUGGAUCUUGCUACCGUUUGCUAUUUCUUAGAGUGCCAAGAAAUCAAGUUAGGACUUUGGUAGACACAAUAUGCUAAAGUUAAUCUUCUAUCAUUUUAAUCUAAUACCCAAUCGACAUCACAAAUGCCUAUCACAUUCAAAUUAUUGGAUUUAUUCAAGUAUAGGCCAAAAUCCAAGGUAUCACUUACAUACCAUAGUAUCCUCUUAAUUGCCUUCCGAUGAACUUCCAUAGGAUUUUGCAUGAAUUAACAAACCCUAUUAACACUAUAGGCAAUCUCUAGCCUAGUUAUCAUUGCAUAUUGUAAUGUACCAACUACACUUCGAUAAAGUUGUGGAUCUUGAAUAGGAUGACCACCGUAUGCUAAAAGUUUUAGGCAUGUUGUCAUAGGAGUAGUCAAUGGUUUAGCAUAUUGCAUUUUAGCUUGACGUAGAAGAUCGGUGAUAUACUUGGUUUGAGAUAAAUGCAGCCGUUCACUAGUUUCUUUAACCUAAAUGCCCAGAAAAUAGGAGAUAGGUCGACGGUCCUUCAAAGCAAAGUCGAAGUUCAAGCUGGUGAUAAGUUGCCUACACCUAAGUGAUCACUUCCGGUUCCAUGAUUUAUUAUAUGAAAUUAGAAUGUCCUACUAACCACCUGUGGAUUCACCUAGCAUUAUUAUUUUUUAACGACCACAUUUAUCAAACACGUCAAAGAGAGAAAUUAAGUGACUCCAUGUUGAACACUAUAAAAAUUCUUGCAUGAAAAGCAAUAAUUUGAAGUAAAAAUAUAAAACAAAAAAAUAAGUAAAAUAAAAUAUAAAUAAAAUUUUUCUUAUGGUUAGAAAAGUCGUAUAUAUAUUUAUAUUAUAUAUGAGGCUUCUUUCAAAUCUUAAGAAUUUUUUUAUUAACAUAAAGAUUAUUUGAAACAUUCCAUUUUCUAGGUAUCAAAAGAACUUUAUUAUCACAAGAUUAUUUUUGUAAGAAUUUUUUUAGAAUCAUGAUGAAAGAAGUAAGUGAAUGUUUGGUAAAUCAACUUAAUAAUUUAAAUUCACUUAAUAACUUAAUUUAAGUUAAUAAGUAAAUUAAAUUUGUUCGGUAAAAUAACUUAAUAAUAUGACUUAAAAUAAAAAACAACUUUAAAUAAUAAGUAAAAAUAAUUAAUUUAUUCUUAAGUUUAUAUUUUCAUUUUUACCCUUUUAUCCUUAUGUAUCCUAGUUACUUCCAUGAUAUUUUUUGCUAUUUUAUAACCUCCAUUAUUACUUAACCUCUUUUAUCUUAAUUAUAAUUUAUGAGGAUAAAUAUAUGAAUUUGAAGAUUUAGAAUAAAUUUUAAGUUAAUUUUAUCAAACAACCUUAAUAUUUAAAAAGUAAGAGUUAAAUAAUAAGCUCUAAGUCAACAACUUAAGUAUGACUUAACUUAAAGUCAACUUAAAUCAUUAAAUAAUAAGUUUUAAGUUUUAUCAAAUACGUCCCAAAUAUAGAACUUUAUUUCAAGAGCAAAAAUAUGAAAGGAAUUACUUGAAUUUGAGUGCAAACAAUUUUUUUUUCCAUUUUUAAACAUAUAUAAAAUGAAAAUGAUAAGUUUGACUUUUUAUUAAAAUAAAACAAAAAACUAUAAUAAUAAUAAAAAUAAAACUUAGAUGAUUUAGUUCUUUUUUUAUUUUUAAAAGUAGAAAUUUUAGAAACUUUAUGUUUGCAUUAUGUACUUAAAAAUUAUUUUGAUAAUAAAAAAAUUUAAUACCUUAAUUUUUUUUAAUUAAUUUUAAAAAUCAUUAUAUUUUCAAUUCAAGCUCUAAAAGUUUUUGUAUUUGUUUAUAAAAAUUAGGGUUAUUUGAUUAAAGGGUUAUUGAAAACUCAAUUUUGAAUAUUUAACCAUUUAUCCUUUUUUUACUUCAUUUUGAUAAAAAUAUCCUCAUUCUUUUUCUUUUUUUUAAAUAAAUAACAAAUUUUAAAAAAAAAUUUACAUAUAAAUACUUGAAAUGAUAAAGGGUAAUUAUAUAUAUAUAAUGUAUUAGGUUUUAAAUAAAAAUAUAAAAAGGAGUAGAUUUACAGGUUUGGAGAUUAUUUUAUCUAUUUUAACUAGUGUUUUAAAAAUAGAGGUUGAUCGGUCUGACCUAUCACCAAUCCAAUCCGAUUCGGCCUUUUAAGCCAGAUAGCUGUUGAACCGGCGUCAAACCUUCGAAACCGAAAGUCGAACCACUGAAUCGAACAGUUCAAAAAACCCUCAUCUCUUUCCCCUAUCCAGCUCCCUCCUCAAUCGUCGUCGCCCCCUUCUUUAUUCUCAAAUUUGUAACUAUGCCUCCACCCUCCAUCUAUUUCCAAUUCCUAGUGUGCACUCCUCACCCUCCCUCUCUUCCCAGUCCUAGCAUGUGCUUCUCCCACACUCCCUUUCUUCCUAGUCCCAAUGUACGCCUCUCUAUGGUGCCACCUGUGGGGGCCCUUCCCCACACGUCUGUCCACAUGUGCCUCCACGUAUCUAGAUACAUGGUAGCACCUCUCCUGGACCACGUGUCACUCCCUUCAUUACUAUUCGGACAACCAUCAAGGCAUACAGGAACAUUCUAUCUAAACCAUAUAGGCUCACUAAGCAUAACACACCUUCCUGAUAACCCCAAAUCCUCUCUAAUAUGUGAAAUGAUGGCAUUCUGACGCUUAAGUGGCUGAUGGGACCUUCCCCUUCCAUACAUUAACAUCAAUGAGUCAUCCUAGCCAUCACCCAUACCUUCAACAAGUUGAAUGAUGGCAAGCUGCGCCAUGACACGCCGUCUAACACAACCACUAGCCGUCUGGCAACUGCAAUUAUUGCUAUGUCACUUACUACACAGUCAUCAUUGCAGCAUUAGGUCAAGGUGCUAGCUAAUCACUACUGUGUUUUCCCCAUUUAAGCACUAUAAAAACCCCACUGAAAUAGGACUCAGGUACGCAACACCAAGGACUCCCUCAUCUACUUUCUCUUAAAGGGUUCCUACCCAUUUCAAUAUCUGACCUAAGCUUCGGAGAGUGUGUCCAGACAACCUGUCUAGGCAUCCUUUGUGCAAGGAAGAAGAAAACCCAGUCUCUAGCAGCUGGGCAGAAGCUUUUGCUGCCACAACCAAUGGAGAAGUCCAUUCUCAGUUGACCUGGUAUCAACAUAGGCAUCGUCUGUGGGAAUAAGAUAAAGAUGUCAACACCCUCAAGAAGUCGAUCGUCAGCCAUGGGUAGGCGCAAAAAUAUGGAGAGACGCCAAUGAGAAAGUGAGUGAUAAAUGCAAGCCUUGCUCCAUGAGACAAGGAGGCUUAGGGAGGAGAACGAGGUGUUGCGUAUCCAAGUGUCUUCAUCGGGCUCUCCUCAUAGCCGACAACCUAGAAGUCAGCAAAUGAACUUCAAGCAAAACGAGGAGGCAUCAUAUCCUAGGAAUGCAAAGUUCCCCUCUGAUGAAUAAGAAAUGCAGCCUAAGGAAAUAUCCCCACUAGCCUGCCACGCGCCACUAGAUGAAAACUCUGAUUCCACUCAUGUCUCAUAAAAAAAAAAAGACACAAUAGCAGGUCACAGCUAUCAGAUGCAAUGCGCGCAAGACUAGGGCCUCAAAUGCCUGGUAUGAGGGAAACCCACAUGUAGUAAUGGCCCAGGAGGCAUAUCCUGGUCCCUCGGCUACACCAAUCAUGACAGAUUGGCUUUCCCAUUCGCUAACACAACAACCAGUAGCGGAUCUAACAAAUCAAGGUCCCCUUGACUCUGUCAAUAAGCUACUGGAUAACAUGUUCUUCACGCCUUUCAUCCCUUACAACAUCAACUACGAGCCCCCAAGAGGGUUCAUGGUCCCAAAGUUUUCCACGUAUGACGGAACCAGCGAUCCAUUUGACCAUAUCAUGCAUUACAGGCAACUCAUAACCCUUGAAAUAGGGAAUGACGCGCUGUUGUGCAAGGUCUUUCAAGCUAGCCUCCACAGCCAAGCUCUUUCAUGGUGCCACCGCCUCCCGAUGAAUUCUGUGAAUAAUUUUCGGGAUCUAUCGGAGGCCUUUGUGGGACAAUAUUUAUGCUCAGCAUGACAUAAGCAAAACAUCAGUAGCCUACAGAACAUAAAGAUGCAGGAGAAUGAGUCAUUGAGAGAAUUUGUGAAGAGGUUCGGACAAGUCGUGCUUCAAGUAGAAUCUUGUAGCAUGGACGUUGUCCUUCAAAUUUUUAAAAGAAGUAUCUGUCCAGGUAUACCCUUCUUUGAAUCUCUCGCCAAAAAACCUUCAGCAACGAUGGACAACUUGUUCAAACGAGUGAACAAGUACUCCAUGCUUGAGGACGACAUCCACGCAGCUACUCAGCAGGCCCUGGUCACCAGUCGGAAUACUAGGAACGACUCAGACGGGAGCUCUAAGCCCAUAAACUAAUGGAGGCAAACUAGUAAGGGGCAGGGCAAACAAUAACAGCUAACCCAAGCUAGCCUCACCCUCCUCAACAUCUCAUACGAAAAACUUCUCCCCAUGAUCUGAGAUUUGUCCGAUUUCAGAUGGCCACAGCCAAUUAAGGCAGAUCCGGAGAAACGAGAUCGAAGCAGAAAAUGUGUUUAUCAUAAAGACCAUGGUCACACCACAAAGCAAUGCAAAAGUCUCCACUGCCUAGUAGAAAUAGUACGUCCGCUCAGAGGGAAGACAUUGAGCCAAGCCCCCACAAAUUUGACUGCCCCUAGAACCGUAAUCAACUACAUUCAUGGGAGUGUCGUGGAUGAGAAAUACAAUUUUAAAUGGAAAAGACAAAUGUUACUUCGAGUCGCCUCUGUAAGAGAACAGGUUAGCUCCAUCCAACCUGACUUGCCCAGUGGGGGCACGAGCCCAAUAGAUGGGGUAAUUACCUUCCCUCUAGUAGACCCCAAUCAGGUGUUACAGCCCCAUGAAGAUGCUUGAUCUUGACACUGGGAAUCAUCGAUUUCGAUGUAAGGUGAAUUUUGAUUUAUCCGGGUAGUUCAGUCGACUUGUUACAAAUGUUCGCGUACAAACAAAUGGGGUUCCCAUCAUCUGCCCUAGAGAACCCCGGGUGGAUACUAUUAAGAUUCAAUGAAGCCUCAACCACUUCUCUAGGAGAUGUCGUGUUACCUGUCCAGGCUAGACCAGAUAUCCAGAAUGUGCAAUUCUUAGUGGUGGAAGACUUGUCCCCUUUCAAUGCUAUCAUGGGACGCACCUGGCUACAUGGCAUGAAGGUCAUCCCUUCUAUGUAUCACAAAAUGGUAAGUUAUCUAACCGACGACAGACAUAUCAACCUUUUUGGCAGCCAGCUAGCUGCACGACAAUGUUAUUAGAUAGCACAUGAAUCUAGAUCCUCCAAAGAUAAUAAAUUGCCCACGGAACAGACUAACAUGGAGCAAUAAUAGCAAUUAUAGAGCCCGGUAGAAAGUGAUCCAUCGGCAGCUGACCUACUCCUACCCUUAUGUCUUUCUCAUAACAAUGAAUGUGUUACUCAUGUCAACUCCCUACAAGCACCUGAAAAAUGUGAAGUACUCAAAGUAGUGCUUUGGCAAAAUGAGGAGGUCUUCGUGUGGACUCAUUUUGAUAUGCCCGAAAUCCACCCUUCAAUAGCCUCAUAUCAACUAUAUAUCAUACCUUCUUUGCGGCCUAUCCGACAAAGGGUCAGACGCUUCCAUCCGGAGAGGCAAAAGAUCAUCCAAGCUGAAGUGGACAAGCUACUGGCAAUUGGGUUCAUCAGGGAAGUAGAAUAUCUUGAUUGGCUAGCAAAUGUUGUUGUGGUCCCAAAGAAAUGAGGGAAGUGGUGAGUCUGUGUUGAUUACACUAACCUAAAUGAUGCCUACCCAAAAGAUAACUUUCCUUUGCCCCAGAUAAAUCAGAUAGUAGACUCCACUACUGGGCACGGGAUGCUCUCUUUCGUAGAUGCUUUUUAUGGAUACCAUCGGAUUCCUAUGUUCCAACUGAACAAGGAGAAAAUCGCCUUUGUGACACCACACGGGUUGUAUUGCUACAAAGUCAUGUCGUUUGGACUCAAGAACGCUAGAGCCAUCUUCUAAAUGCUAAUGACAAAGAUUUUCAAACCACUAAUCAGCCACACAGUAGAGGUAUACAUCGAUGACAUUGUAGUAAAGAGCAAAACUAGAAGUAAACACACCCAACAUUUAGAAUAAACUUUUCACUUGAUGAAAAUGUACAACAUGAAGCUCAACUCGGCCAAAUGCGCCUUUGGAGUCAAUGCAGGUAAAUUCAUGGGAUUCAUGGUAACACAAAGGAAUAAAAGUUAGUUUGGACCAAAUCAAAGUUGUCAUGGAAACACCCACCCCAAAUUCUAAGAAGGAAUUGUAGUGUCUCACUGGCCGCCUAGUCGCACUAGGACGCUUCAUAGCCUAUUUCACAAACAAGUUAAGGUUUUUCUUCCUCACACUAAAAGGAGCUAGCGCGACAGGAUGGACAAACAACUAUGAGAAAGCAUUUGAGGAGAUUAAACGCUAUCUCACACAGCCACCAUCCUGAGUAGUCCUCAACCCGGUGAGCAACUGUACAUGUAUCUAACAGUAUUUGACUGGGUUGUCAGUGUUGUGCUCUUUUGCCACGUGAAAGACAAGUAACAGAGGCUCAUCUACUACGUGAGCAAAUCAAUGGUUGAGGCGGAAGCUCGAUACUCCAAGAUGGAACAAACAACUUUGGCUUUGAGAAGUGUUGCACAAAAACUUUGCCCUUACUUUUGAGCCCAUCAGAUGACUAUACUCACAAACCAACCACUUAGAAGAAUUUUACAUAAAACCGACUUAUGUAGGAGGAUGCUGAAAUGGGCCAUAGAACUAAGUGAGUAUGAGAUCAAAUACCAGCCUAGACUGGCAAUGAAGGGACAGGUCAUGGUGGACUUUAUAGUUGAGAUUCCUUAGAAACCAUCACAGCUUGUAGAUUCUCUUAAAAAUGGAUGGUGGAUACUUCAUGUUAAUAGAGCAUCCGGGGUCUCUAAAGCCGAAAUAGGCCUUCUCUUACAAUCCCCAACCAGAGAACAAUUGGAAUAGGCUAUCAGGCUUGGGUUACUUGCCUCCAAUAACAAAUCAAAGUAUGAGGUAAUCCUAGUCGGGUUGAAUCUUGCUCUUACUUUAUCGACAACUGAGUUGGAAAUAUGCGGCGAUUCCCAGCUAGUCAUUGGACAAAUUUUGGGAUAAUACGAAGCCAAGGAUGAACGCAUGACCCGAUACCUUUCAAAGGUACAAGCAAAUUUAAAUAAACUAAGCAAAUGGGUCGUCAAGAGAAUCCUCAGCACAGAAAACAUAUAGACUGACGCCCUAACUAAGAUAGUUGCUACUCUCCCGAUAAAAGAAGUCGUAUUACUACCCGUCUACCUCCAAGCUACAUCGUCAAUGGCAGACGGUCCAAUAUGCAAUGCCAGUGAAACAGAUGUCAACUGGAUGCACGAGAUUGAGGCAUAUAUCCGGACAGGAAAAUUACUUGAAGAUAGAAAGCAAGCUCACAAAAUCCGGGUACAGGCGCCGCCUUCACUCUAAUCGAAGACAGCCUUUACAGGCGAUCUUUUGGAGGAUCGUACUUCAAAUGCUUAAAAUAUGCAGAAGCAUGGUACGUAUAGGUCGAGCUUCAUGAAAGUGUGAAUGGCAAUCACAUAAGCGAAUGUACCUUAGCGCAUUGUGCUCACUCACAAGGAUACUUUUAGCCCACCAUAGGACAAGACGUUGAUAAAUAUGUCAAAAAGUGUGAUUGAUGCCAAAGGUAUGCACCUAUUCCUCGUAUGCCCUCCAAGAUCCUCAAUUCAGUCACGAGUCCUUGGCCAUUCGUACUAUGGGAAAUGGAUAUAAUUGGCCCCCUACCUGUUGCAGCUGCAUAGAAAAAGUUUCUACUUGUAACCACGGAUUACUUCAACAAAUGGGUAGAGGUAGAAGCUUAUGCUAACAUCAAGGAUAGGACGUUUCCAAGUUCGUCUAGAAAAAUAUCAUCUACCAGUUUGGAAUCCCACAAGCAAUUGUAGCUGAUAACAGGCCGCAAUUUGAUAGUAUCGCCUUUAGAACCUUCUACUCGGAGCUAAAGAUCAAGAAUUUAUACUCCACGCCACAUUACCCUCACAAUAAUGGACAAGCGGAGGCAACGAACAAAACUCUACUCUCUGGGCUGAAGAAAAUACUAGAAAAAGCCAAAGGAAAAUGGGUAAAUGAACUACCCGGAGUUUUGUGGGCUUAUCGAACGACACCUGGUUGACCAACGAGAACCACUCACUUUGCUCUCGCCUAUGGAAUGGAGGCAAUUAUCCCAUCCGAGAUAGGCAUGCCCACAACCAAGACGAUCAUCCAAGGCCAGAGAUACGAGAGUCGGGAGCUUGAAAGACACCUAGAUUGGGCAGAUGAGGCAAGAGGGAAUGCAGUCAUCCGGAUGGCAUCCUAUCAGCAAAGAGCUAUUGCCCACUACAAUAGGAAGGCUUAGUCGCGCACUUUUAGGACUAGGACUCUAGUCUUCAAAAGAGUCUUUGAAAACACGGCUGAAAGAGGGGUUAGAAAACUUCAGCCAAACUGGGAAGGACCCUACGUAUUAUUUAAGGUAGAAGACUCAGGGGCUUACCCUCUGCAAAUGCUAGACGGAGUGCCCCUGCUCCGCCCAUGGAAUGUAUCUAACUUGAAGCAAAACUAUCAGUAAAUUGGGUUUAAGGAAAGAAGAUUUAGUAAGAAAACGCAAGUAAAAAGAAACAAGUCUGCAUUGAUAGAAAGUGUUCAUUACAAGGUCGUGUCCAGAUAAAACAAUAAACGAAAAAGGGAAAAAAAAAAGUGCAAGAAUACAAUCAUUGCUCGUCGAAGGGCCUAACUGCAUCUGAAUCCUUAUCUCCCUAGGCGGAGUUGCUGAUUAUUGCAUCUUCCUCAUCGGAAGGGUAGUUGGGGAUAUCAUGAGUAAUGUCGUUCUUCCUCAUACAGUAUUGGUAGCCGAAGAAGAACAUAUCAUCAACUUGCUUAUGAUAAUCCUCCUCUAGCUCAUUCUUCUCGGCAGCAAACUCUACCCGAAGCUCCUCUAGCUUAUUCUUUCCUUGCAUCGGAAGUCAUUCCAAGCUCCUCCAGCUCUUUCUUCAGUUGGUCUUUUUCCUGCUCCACAUUCUUGCACUUAGCCUCCGUAGUCUCCAUUUCUUCUCUCAUCUGGCACACCUCGGCUUUCACUACCUCCCUUUCCUCUUCUAUCUCCUUCAACAACUUUCCUCUGUCUGUGAUAGCUUUCUGAGCGGCAACCGGGUCAUUCUCCGCCCGCUUAAGUUGGGUAUGGAGCUCUUCGUUGCUAUCCAGUUGCUAGGUAAAAAAUCCCCUCAUAGUCUCCUCGACCUCCAACCAUUUGAAGAGUAGGGCCUACUGGCGCAUUAAGUUACGAAUAGCAAUCACUACUUGAACGACAUUAAAGCAAAUGUUAGAAGUCAGACACUGAGGAAACUUAAACUAAGAAGGAGCAAGCCUUACCACUUCCGUCGUCUCAACAGUAGUGUACUACUGCAUCAGUUGAAUACAGAGGAAAACGGAUUCCAAAGUGUCAUGAGGGAGGCGAGGUGCAGCAGUUAUUAGGGGGUUGUCGGGCAUGUCAACAAAAUACUAACGGGUAAGCAGAAAGAAAUCACCCAUAUCAAUUGAAAGGGGCUCAAGCAUAGUGAAGUAGGUGACCUACUUCAACAAUGCCGCUAUCUCUUCCCGAGCCAGAAACGGGAGAGCUAACCGAGGCAUCUUUGUCAGUGAGAUCAUUACCCAGAGUUUGACUAAUAGAGGUCUUUUCUUGCACUGGGCAGGCGUUCUUCUCAACAAAAAAACUCACGACCAACGCUUGGUCGGACCCAACAACAUCAGAUGGAGGCAUCAUCACCAGAUGAGCAUCCGAGACCGGCAUUUUAGGAGAGACCUCAGAGCAAGUCCUCUUAGCAGGUAAAGGGGCAACUAGAAGUGACUCAAAGAGGCAUUUACGCUACCUCUCCUUGAAACCAACCCUUAGGUUAGGUGUCAUUUAUUCUUCUUCUUCUUCUUUUUCUGGCUCAAGGAUGAUGCAAGGCGCCAUUGGCUCAAGCUCCUGAUUCGGAUUGGCCCCUAUGAAGGGUGAGCCGGUUAAGCCCUAAUCGGUGUCUGCAUCAGAAGAAAGCAAAUGAGAAAAAGCAAAUGGAGAUAGGUCCAACGCCUUCUCGAUAGGGCGAAAGACAGCUUCCUCUUAGUAGGGGAUGAGUAGUAGAACUGGUGGUCGGACGACUUAUGCCCGGAGCUUGUCUUAGAGUCCUCUUCUGACACUUUUUCUCUCUCUAAUCAAGCCUGUCUUGUCAAACCUCCUCAUAGAAAGGAAGAUAUUUCAAUACGUGAUGUUUGUCGGGCACCAAAACUUUAGGCACAAGACGAGGAAAGAUGGGAAGGACGUAAGGUUGCGACUCCCAGGCCACUGCUAGCAAGUUCCGAUCAAUCAGCAGAGUAUGAUGAUGCCGCUAAUUAGUAGAAAUCACAAAUAACUUGUUGAGCCGGUCGAAAUUAGCUUUCUCCACCCACUCUACCGGUCGACAUUUCUUCUUCUUUCUUAUAGCACACAAAGUAAUAAACAUCAGCACCGAGCCGACUAUUAAUAAAGUUGUAAGGAUAAAACAAGAGGGAACUAUGGUUUAUUCUACCCAGAAUUGCCAACGAACGAUGUAGUUCGAACUCUCAACCCGGGUGCUCGAGUGAACCAGCCUAGGGCCCCGAAACAACGACAUACCCCUUAGUCGCACCCUUAGUAGAAUCCGAAAGCCCCGUCACCAACUGAAGAGAAGGGAUAUGAGCGGACAAGCUGAAUAUCCUUUUCCCACUCAUCUUCAUAGUGUAAAUAAAAAAGAUCUCUAACAAAGAAAGAUCCAAGUGGAAUAACAUAUCCAAAAUGGUGCACCCCAUCAGUACUCUGACCGCAUUCGGAUGAAGAAAUGAUGGGGAAAUCUUCGUGAAGUGAAGAAACUGCCUAAAAAGUGAAGGAAGAGGGAAGUGGAGCCCAGUAUUAAAUUGCUCUUUUCUGAAGACGGUAGCAUUGAAGGGUUCUUUUUCGGUAGACACAGGGCCACCAUCCAUCAAGUGAGUAGCAAGGCUAUUCAGAAUGCGGAAGCGCUCCCUAAACUUUCACUCAGAAAGGAGUUCGAUAAGCUUUUCCGAAUGGGUGCAACCGACACUUUCUCUUGGUCGGUCACCUUUCUUGCCCUUACCAACCGCACUAGUAGAAGCAACACCCCCUAUUGUUGACAUGUUGAAGUAGUGGGUUGAGUAAGACCUACAUGACACAACGACCGAUUAUUAGAAAGUAGUCACCCGGCCCUUUUAUCGAUAUGUAGUACCUCAGAAGUGCAACGAUCAGCCAACACAAGCCUAAGACCCACAUUUGGAUGGAGCGCUUGACCCAGCCUAUAGGGCAAGCCCUAACCAAGGUUCCCCCUAACCAUACCCUACAGAAGCCUUAAACCAAAAAGCCUAACAACAGCCCUAAAAAACCAAUCGAAAGGCAAAAAAAACCCUAGUUCUAGCAAACGUCGUCAAUUGAACCACCGACGGUGACUCCUCUUCCCAAAAAAACACCAAAACCCUACAUCCUACACUCAGCGACGUCCAUAUUGAACCUAGAAAAGCCACAAAUAAUCCCAAUAGCAAUUAAGUGCACCGUUGAAAAUAAAAAAAAGUCAAUACGAGGGAUUAACGACUUACCUAAAACCAGGAGAAGCACCGUUGACAGAAACGAAGUUCACCCUAAAGCAGAACUGGUACAGAUGGUGGGACCACCAGGAAAAUGAACGGUAAACCGAAAUCACUGUAGCAUAGAAUGCAAAAGCAGUCAGAGAAGAUGAAUGAAAAAACAACGAGGAAAGCGACAAUUGGAGUUGCAGUGGGCAUAAUGCAGAUGAAAUGAAGGCAAGAUGAAGAGUUGCAAGAGCAAGAAAUGUCCAAAAAGGGUGUUCCUAAAGGCCUGGAAUCUCUAAUUUAUAGGGGACCAAAACCCUAGGGAUCCCAAAAAACAGGCCACCUAGGAAUGCGUCCCAAAGCGACACGUCGCCUAACAAAUGCCUCAGUGGAAGUGACCUUCACUUAAUGACCGACACAUGUCUCGCUGACACUAGGGGAUCCCAAUGGCCAUUUUUAGCCAGUCCACUUCUACCCGAACACGGAUGCACGUGCUAAAGGGGGCAUUGUGGGGGCCCUUCCCCACACAUCUGUCCACAUAUGCCUCCAUGUAUCUGGACAUGUGGCAACACCUCUCCUGGACCACGUGUCACUCCCUCCAUUAUUGUUCGGACAACCACCGAGGCAUACAAGAACAUUUUAUCCGAACCAUAUAGGCCCAUUGAGAGUAACACACCUUAUUGACAACCCCAAAUCCUCUCUAAUAUGUGAAACGAUGGCAUUCUAACACUGGAGUGGCUGAUGGGACCUUUCCCCUCCAUACGUCAACAUCGAUGGGCAAUCCUACCCAUCACCCAUACCUUCAACAGGCUAAAAUGACGACAAGUUGCGUCAUGACGCGUCGUCUGACACAGCCACUAAUCGCCUGACAACUGCAAUAAUUGUCAUGUCACUUACUACACAAUCAUUAUUGCAGCAUUAGGUCAAGGCGCCAGCUAAGUACUACUAUGCUUUCCCCCUUUGAGCACUAUAAAAACCCCACUGAAACAGGACUCAGGUACGCAACACCAAGGACUCUCUCAUCAACUCUCUCUCAAAGGGUUUCUACCCAUUUCAAUAUCUGACUUAGGCUUUGGAGAGUAUGUCUGGACAACCUAUUCGGGCAUCCUUUGAGUAGGGAAGAAGAAAGCUCAGUCUCUAGCAGCUAGGUAGAAGCUUUUGCUGCCACAACCAAGGGAAGAAUCCAUCCUUAGUUGACCUAGUAUCAACACCACCCAACACCCUCUCCACCCUCCGUCUCUUUCUAGUUUCCAGCGUGCGGCUAUCACCCUCCCUCUCUUCCCAGUUCUAGGAUGCGCUUCUCUCACACUUCUUCUAUUCCCAGUCCCAAUGUGCACCUCUCCGUGGCGCCAGCCAACACACCACCCCCCUUCCCCUUCUUUCUUCUACUACUGCCCAUAUUCUCCUUUCUUUUUUAGUUGAACUCUCUUUCUUCUUCCCACCUCUAUCAUGAACACCUCCCAUUUCAUUUCCUGGUUUUUUUAUUAUAUAUUUUUUAUAUUUUCAUUUACCUUUUCCAUCCAUAGCCAUUCUUUUAUAUAUAUAUAUAUUUGUUUUUUUAAAACUUUAUGAUUUUUAAAACUUGUGAUUUUAAUUUAAAUUAAUGAAAACAUCAUAAUUUUAAAUAAAUUUCUAAUUUUAAAAUAAGUUUUUGAUUUAAAAAUAAAUUUUAAAAUUUUAAAUUUUAAAUUAAAUUUUUUAUCUUAAUUUAAAUUUCUACUUUGAAACUAAUUUUAUGAUUUUCAAAUAAUUUUAUGAUUUUCAAAUAAUUUUUAAUUUUUAAAUAAUAUAUAAGUUAAUAAUUUUAAUUUUAAUAAUAUAUAAAUUAUAUAUUUAUAUUGUCACCGAUUCGACUGUAGUUCGAUCGCUAGUCCAACUAGUGAAUCGUGAACCAACAACUUUUCCGAUUCAAUAAUCGGUCUGAUUUUGAAAACAUUGAUUUUAACUAAUUAAUUCUAAAAGUUAAUAUAAUUUUACAUUUCUAAAAUGGAAAAUUUGAAGUGUAUGUAAAUUGACACUUAUUUGUUUAUUUAUAAAUUUUAUUUAUUUUUAUAUACUUAAAAAAAUUUAAAUAAAACAAAUGGCUACCUCACUCCAUUUGGAAUUAAGAAUAAGAAUGAAAAUAUACUUAAAUAGUAAUUAAGACGAGGGUGGGAAAGGUGAGCCACCUAUACCCGAGGCUUUACAUCCCUAGAUAUAAAGCUUUACUAGGUCAUGUUGGCAUAUUUUUCUUAAUAACAGAUUAUUAAGAGACACUCUAUUUGAUUGGUGAAUUGAGUAUGGGAAAUUUUAGGAUGUCAAGUUCAUAUUUAUUGAAUUUACAAUCUCAAUCAUGAAUAUGUAUAGUGAAAUCUAAACCGUUGAAUGUUGAUAUAAAUAAAUAAGAUCAUUGUACAAAUAAAUGAUAUCAAAAUAUAAAUGAAUGAAAUUAAAGUACAAAGUAAUGAAAAUUAGAUACAAAAUAUUAGGAAUAGAUUAAAUAUAUGACAAGUUGGAAUUAGAUCCAUAUUUUGGUAGGUAAUAAUGAUUCAAUAUCGGUACGGAUACUCAUGAUUUAUAAGGAGUGAGUAGUAGAUGGCAAGACCAAUUUUGUUUUGAAAAGGGAAGUAAAUGGGAAGGCACAUUUACCAGACUUGACAUUAAAUAAUUUUAUAAGAAUUUAUUUUGAUUUUGAACAUAUUUUAUAUUUGUCUAAUUGUUUUUAUAUAGUAUUUUUAAUAAUAAUUUAAAAUACGAAGAACACUCUAAAAUUUUUUAUAUUAUAUAUAAAUUUAUAAUAUUUUUACGAAGAAACAAGCUCAAAAAAUUCUUAUAAAGAAAUCCAUUUUUUAGAAUUAUUAUCAAAAUUAAGCUGUUUUUAGAUAACUAUUUUUAAAACAUAAAUAAAUAAUAGUGGUCGACAGUUUACAUUAGCGAGAAGGGCGAUUAUUAUGUAGGGAUAGUUGGUCCUUUCCAUUUCUGAAGUCGGACUGUAUGAGGUAUAAUUUAUUUUGCCUACUUCUAUCCCCCCUGGGCUGAAAAUUAGAAGACGGCAGAGCUCGGCCCCAUACCUUGUCCUGACUCCUAUGUGCUUUAAAAUCACAUUAUGCACAUGCAUCGAACUCAGCCUUUGAAGCUCUUCCAUCACUGCAUUCAGAUGACCUAGCCAAAUCCAGUGGAGCUAGACACUUGAAGAUGUCACAACUGGUUUUCCUUGAAAAGGAAGCCCAGAUUUCUUUUAAGUACUUGGACAUUGUCACAUCUACCAAAGGCUUGAAAACGUUGGUUUGUCAUGAUUUUUUCCACUUCUUAAGGGUGGGUUGGUUUGUUUGUUUGUUUUUUUAAGUAUAAAUCUUUAUAUUUCUCCAUUGUUACAUUGUUACAUCUACGUAUCAAGCUUUGGAAGUGGCAUGCCUAAGUAUUCUUCCAUGGGAAAGCUUUUGGAGCAAAUAAUUAAGCAGGAGAUUUUAUUUUUUAACCUAUUAAACAGGUGUUUAGCAAAUCAACUUAAUAACUUAAAAGUGACUUAAUAACUUAAUUUUAAGUAAUUAAAUAAAUUAAAUAUAUUUGAUAAAAUAACUUAAUGAUAUAAUUUAAAAGUAAAAAACAACUUUAAGUAAUAAAUAAAAAUAAUUAACUUAUUUUUAAGUUCAUAUUUUUAUCUUCAUUUAUCAUAAUUAUUUUCAUGAUAUCCUUUAUUAUUUCAUGACAUUUAUUAUUACUCGACAUCAUUUAUCCUCGUUAUAAUUUAUAAGAAUAAAUAUAUUAAUUUGAUGUUUUAAAAUAAAUUGUAAAUUAAUUUUAUUAAAUAAUAUUAAUACUUAAAAUAAGAAUUAAAUAAUAAGUUUUAAGUUAACAAGUAUAAUUUAAGUUAAAAAAUCAAGUUAAGUGAUUAAGCCCCAAAAUCAAGUAUAUUGUAAGCAAAUGUUCUAAAUUUUUUUGUACCAUAUCUAGUUUACUUUUUAAAAUAUUUAGGCAUAGUUUACUUUGCCCACUCUCCUGUCCUUCAUUGGCUGAAAAUUAGAACACGUCAAGUCCCCAUACCUUAUCCCUGGUGGCUUUUAAUGCACAAUGCAUCUCACCCUUGGAUGCUCCUAUCACUGCAUUCAACCAAAUCCAGUGGGGACAAACUUGGUGAUGAUUUGUGCAACUGUUAUUCCUUGAAAGUGAAGCCCACAAUCUUUUUAUUUUUUUUAUUUUUUUAUUUUUCAGGUUAAUGAAUGGCUACUAAUGGAUUUUCAACAACCAGUCACACGUUAAAUAGAUAAGUAUGUAUGACUGAGAUGAAUGAGAAGUGGAUUAUGUAUAUUACAAAGGAAAUUAAUUGUAAAAGAAUUUUAAAUCAAGAAUUUAAAAAAAAUAAUAAAAUCAAGAAUUUUAAAUAAUAAAAUUAAUUUGAAAAAGAAUUUUAAAUUGAGAAUAUAAAAAAGAACAAUCUUUUCAAAAAAAAACUUAAGAAAUUUGGAAAGGAAUUAAAUCAAGAAUUUAAAAAAAAAAAAUUCUAAAUAUUUUUUAACUUCAAAAAGAAAAAAAAAAAAAAGCAUUUCCAAAUCUUUCUAAGAUUUUUAAACUUGUUAAAUUAUUUUUUUUCUUUUGUACAAUAUGAUUUUAAAAAGUCCACAAGAUUUUCUCUAAUUUAUUCUUAUUGGGGAGAGUUCUUUCCAAAAUUCAUGUGUUUAAACUUUAAAUCAUUAUUCUUCAUAAUUAACCCUAAACUCUUAGAUUGCUUUUUUAUUUUUUAUUUUUAUUAUUUUUUUUAAUUUUUGAAUUUGUAUAUUCUCAAAGUGUUGAAGAGUCCACGAAAGAAUAUAGUAGCGCUACAUUGCAAGCAUGAGAUUAGGUAUAAAUUUUAAAAUAUAGAGAGUAGAAACCAUCAUGUAAAUUAAAAAAUUAAAAUCUGAACUAAAAAGGAAUUAAUAGAUAACCGCCCUUAUAUAUAUAUUACUCCCAGAUAAGAAACUACAAGAAUUUAAAUAUAUAAAAAAGAAAAUUAUAUUUUAUUUUUUCUUUAAUGGAAAACCGCUUUCAUUUAUAGGUAGGAUUAUUCGUGGAUUGAACAGUAGUUAUAUAAAUGUAUAUUGCCAUUAGAAUAGGAUUGAAAGUUAGGUUGCAUGCAGCCAUGGGCGCUAUAUAUAUACCCCUCUUCUAUUCUAUUUUACAAGGCAUUCAUAUAAGGUGCUGCAAAUCGCUUAUCCUAUUCAAGUUCUUCCCCUGGGUUUGUGUCUCCAGAAAAAGAAAAAUGGUGAAAUUGAUGGCUACUUACACGGUGAGACCAGCCAAGGAGACACCGGGAGGCUACAGGUGUUUAUCAGACAGUGAUCAAGUUAGAGCUCUCACUCACGCACCCACCAUCUACUUUUACCCACCUGUAAAUGUGUCCCUUGAAUCGGCCACCGAGAUUCUGAGGCACUCUCUGAGUGAGGCGUUGGUGAUUUUCUAUCCACUAGCGGGACGCUUGCACUGGAUUGGUGGAGGCCGCCUUGAGCUCGACUGCAAUGCCUUGGGGGCUCUACUCAUUGCAGUCGAGUCCGAAGCCAAAAUCGAUGACUUUGGAGACUUCCGACCAACCCAAGAGAUCCGAGCUCUCAUCCCUUCAGUGGAUUACAACAAGCCAAUCCAUGAACUACCAUUGAUUUUGGUGCAAAUCACCAAGUUUAGCUGUGGUGGCAUGAGUCUGGGCUUGGGAAUAUCGCAUACCAUCGCUGAUGGCCUUAGUGCAUUACACUUCAUCUCGGAGUGGGCUAAAAUCGCCCGUGGCGAGCAAUCCAACAGCCCACCAUUUCUGGAUCGAUCAGUUUUACUAGCCCCGGAGCAUUUGAGUGCACCAGUGUUUGAUCAUCCAGAGUAUAGUACUCAACCCCUCUUGAUUGGGAAGCAGGAUAACAUGGAAGAGCGGAAGAGAGAAACCGCUAUACUCAAGUUAAAAUUAAGCAAAGAUCAAGUUGAGAAACUGAAGGACAAAGCCAAUAAGGAUCGGAGUGCUUCCAACAACAAGCGCCCCUACACCAGGUAUGAGGCUGUUGCUGGACACAUCUGGAGGAGUGCGUGCAAGGCACGUCAGCAUGAAAGCCAGCAGCCAACAACAUUGUCUAUCAUCGUUGAUGCUCGCAAUCGCAUGGAGCCACCAUUGCCACCCAGAUAUUUCGGAAAUGCUACUUUUCGGGUAACUGCUGAAAGCAUGUCAGGGGAGCUAGUCUCCAAGCCAUUAGGCUAUGCUUCAGGUAAAGCACGACAGGCAAUAGAGAAGGCAACGCAUGAAUAUUUACAAUCAUCUCUUGUGUAUGUGAAAUGUCAGGAGGAUGUAACUCAGUUCAGGAAUUUCCACACUGUUGGAUGCGCGAAAGGAGCUUUCUAUGGGAACCCUAAUCUUGAGAUCACUAGCUGGGCCAGACUGCCCAUUUAUGGGGCGGACUUCGGGUGGGGCCAGGAAAUUUACAUGGGUCCAGGAGCAAUUGGCUACGAUGGGAAGGUUUUCGUAUUUCCCGGCCAGGGCCUAGAGGGAUCAUUCCU
rnacentral:lncRNA from 1 species